AAAACUAUAAUUUUUUAUUAUUAGUAUAGUUUCAUCUUUAAUUUAAUAUUUAAAUAAAUAAUAUUUAGAUAUAUUAUAUAACUUAAAUUCGCCCUCUGCUUUAUAAUAUAUAUACAUACCAGUGCGAUUUUUUUAUAUGAGGCUGACCACCUAAUUAAUAAAUCUUCAAUAUUACUCUUUUUUUGCAAUGACAAAAGAAAUUAGAUGUCAUUUUCAUCUUUGAGCCGAAAAUAAUGAAAAAAUAAUAGUAAAAAGUCAUUUAAAGGUCAUAUUUGUACAGUUUUGAAUAGUUAAAGGUUAUCUUUGUGUACUGUCAAAGUUUAGGGUCAUAUUUAUGUACUAUGCCCUUAGAUUUUAAGCUGGACGCACCCAGUUUUGCGUGUUGAACACGUGUUUUGCCACGUAGGAUCGGAGGUCAUAUUUGUGCAGUUUUGAAUAGUUAAAGGUCAUAUUUGUGCACUGUCAAAGUUUAAGGUUAAAGUUAUAAUUUGAUGUCAAGUUUAGGGUCUUAUUUAUGUAUUAACUCUUUAGAUAAAUAUAGAUUGUGAAUAUCAUUAAAAUCUGUGUAAAUGAAGUUAUUUAUUGACAAAAAUGAAUUUUAAGUUUCUUUAUUUAUAUGUAUCCAUAUCUUAUUUGUCAUAAAAGAAGACCCUUCUCUGUUGCAAAAGAUUAUUUUAUGGAGCUUAGUGUACAACGUGAUUCGUUAUAGUAAAUCCUUGAGUUUGUUCAAUAAGAUCUUCCUCACUCAUUGACUAAUUGAGCAAGAUUUCAAUAUAUGAUUUUUUUUUCUGAUUUGUUUUAUUUUUAGGGUGCUCUUGAUAGUUAUUGGAAUAUAGUACAGAUGUCCAAUUUACAGAAUUAUGAAUUGUUCCUAUAAUGAGCUUUACAGGUCAAUAUUCGUGUUCUCAAGAUAUUCAAAGAUCAAUUGUAAGAAUAAUUUAUAUAGUGCGAAUUAAAAAAUGGUUGAUCUAUCUUGCGGCUGCUCUUUAUGUAGUGGUACGGUGUUGUAGGAGUAUCGGUUAUGGAUGAUGUGAUUAAUGUUGUCAAAUGCAAGUAUAUAGAUGGUGAUAGUUUAUCUCAAUGAAAUCUUUCAUUUCUCAAUAAUGAUACAAAACUAAUUGCAGGAAGAGUUUUUACGAUUUUUUAGGGAUACUAUUUUAAUGAUUACUUAUAUAAGAAUUGUCAGCGCAUAGCGCGGGUACGUAUACUAGUUUCAUCCUAAUAAAAUCGACUAUCUUGUAGAAUAACAUGAUAUGAAAAUAUCUUCACGUGCAAACAAAAUACUUUCUUGAGAAUAAACGUCAUAUAAAUAAAAGGAAAGCACAAGCAGAGACCUCAAAGGAGAAGUUGGAAUCCAAAAAUAAGAGUUUGAGCUUCAAUCAAUUAAUUGGAAGAAGCUUAUCAUUAGAAGAUGUAAACAAGAUAUGGUUUCUUCGAAUAAACCAUGUAGUUUGGUGCAAAUGUAUUUUCUCAAUUGCAGAAUGGAGUUUGAAGGGCCAAAGUUCGAUUUGAAGUGGCACGGCAGGAGAAGAAUUCUAUGCAAGGAGGCGACCUCUAGGAAGCCACCAAUGGAUCCUCCAGGUAAAAGAUUCAUAAAAACCUUUCAAUGGAUACAAUUCAAGAAGGAAGAUUCAUNNNN
rnacentral:lncRNA from 1 species